AACGAACGCUGGCGGCAUGCCUAACACAUGCAAGUCGAACGAGACCUUCGGGUCUAGUGGCGCACGGGUGCGUAACGCGUGGGAACCUGCCCUUAGGUUCGGAAUAACUCAGAGAAAUUUGAGCUAAUACCGGAUAAUGUCUUCGGACCAAAGAUUUAUCGCCUUUGGAUGGGCCCGCGUAGGAUUAGCUUGUUGGUGGGGUAAUGGCCUACCAAGGCGACGAUCCUUAGCUGGUCUGAGAGGAUGAUCAGCCACACUGGGACUGAGACACGGCCCAGACUCCUACGGGAGGCAGCAGUGGGGAAUAUUGGACAAUGGGCGAAAGCCUGAUCCAGCAAUGCCGCGUGAGUGGUGAAGGCCUUAGGGUUGUAAAGCUCUUUUACCAGGGAUGAUAAUGACAGUACCUGGAGAAUAAGCGCCGGCUAACUCCGUG
rnacentral:rRNA from 1 species